rnacentral:rRNA from 1 species
GUUCGAUCAUGGCCUAGAUUGAACGCUGGCGGGAUGCUUUACACAUGCAAGUCGAACGGCAGCACGGACUUCGGUCUGGUGGCGAGUGGCGAACGGGUGAGUAAUGUACCGGAACGUGCCUAGUAGCGGGGGAUAACUACGCGAAAGCGUAGCUAAUACCGCAUACGCCCCUUCGGGGAAAGCGGGGACCUCUUCGGGCCUCGCACUAUUAGGAGCGGCCAUUGAUAUUGGAUUAGCUAGUUGGUGGGGUAACGGCUCAACAAGGCGACGAUCCGUAGCUGGUUUGAGACGACCAGCCACACUGGGACUGAGACACGGCCCAGACUCCUACGGAGUAGCAGUGGGGAAUUUUGACAACGGGGAAACCCCAUCCAGCCAUCCUUGGCGUGUGCGAUGGAAGGCCUUCGGAAGUUGUAAAGCACUUUUGGCAGGAAAAGAAACGGCACGGACAAUACCCCGUGCAACUGACGGUACCUUGCAGAAUAAGCACCGGCUAACUACGCCAGCAGCCGCGGUAUUACGUAGGGUGCAAGCGUUAAUCGGAAUUACUGGGCGUAUGUGCGCAGGCGGUUCGGAAAAGAAAGAUGUGAAAUCCCAGAGCUUAACUUUGAAUCAGCAUUUUUAACUACCGAGCCAGGAGUGUGUCAGAGGGAGGUGGAAUUUCCAUGUGUAGCAGUGAAAUGCGUAGAUAUGCGGAGGAACACCGAUGGCGAAGGCAGCCUCCCUGGGAUAACACUGACGCUCAUGCACGAAAGCGUGGGGAGCAAACAGGAUUAGGAUAUUCCGGUAGUCCACGCCCUAAACGAUGUCAACUAGCUGUUGGGGCCUUCGGGCCUGGUAUGCAGAAAGCUAACGUUGCGAAGUUGACCGCCUGGGGAGUACGGUCGCAAGAUUAAAAUCAAGGAAUUGACGGGGACCGCACAAGCGGUGGAUGAUGGGAUUAAUCUGAUGCAACGCGAAAAACCUUAUCACCCUUUGAUGACAUGUCUGGAAUCCCGAAGAGAUUUGGGAGUGCUCGCAAGAGAACCGGAACACAGGUACAUGGCUGUCGUCAGUUUGCCGUGAGAUGCGUUAAGUCCCGCAACGAGCGCGGCAACCCUUGGGUUACAGUUGCUACGAAAGGGCACUCUAAUGAGACUGCCGUGACAAACCGGAGGAAGGUGGGGAUGACGUCAAGUCCAUGAAGCUCUUAUGGGUAGGGGCCUUCACACGUCAUACAAUGGUCGGGACAGAGGGUCGCCAACCCGCGAGGGGGAGCGAAUCCAGAAACCUGAUCGUAGUCCGGAUCGCAGUCUGCAACUCGACUGCGUGAAGUUUGAAUCGCUAGUAAUCGCAGAUCAGCAUGUCGCGGUGAAUACGUUCCUGGUCCAGCUAUUACACCGCCCGUCACACCAUGGAGUGGGGUUUAUCAGAAGUAGUUAGCCUAACCGUAAGGAGGGCGAUUACUACGGUAGGAUUCAUGACUGGGGUGAAGUCAACAAGGUAG